rnacentral:lncRNA from 1 species
AAACUGUGAUCAUGACAUGCAAACAUCUCACAGUAAAAAUCUUGGGGUACCAACAGAAAAUAGGUACCAGCUUUCUCCAAUUUUUCUGAGCCACUGAUGGUAAGGUGCACCGUCGAUUUAAUGAUGAGUGUCCUGGGGGAAUAAAAAAAAUACUAUCACACUUGCUCUCGUGAGGUAGAAAACAAGUCCUAUGUUGAGAAAUGUUAAAACAUGGGCAGUGAAAUUGAGUGGAUGUCACAUGUUAGCUCUAUGUGUUAUCCACAGGCUCUUUUCCCCACAUGUGCCUGUUCCUUAUGGACAUGCUUUUUGUGAAGCCCCAGAGAGUCCUGGAGUGAAUGCUGGCUUCUCAUCGUUCGUGUUAAUAGGGAUCAGUGCAGGGCUUCAGAAGGAAAAAAAAAAAAAAAUCCAGAAAAUUCAUGUCUUGCCACCUACACUGCUCGCUAGUAGCUAGGCUGGUAACUGAAGUUUCAUUGACCAUAUGUCUCAACCACAGUGACCACAUUUCUCACUAAGAAAGGUCCCAAGUGUGGAGGAAAAGGCGUGAGAUUGACGGCAGGUGGGGGCAAAGGGGAAGUGAAGAAGCUGGGUGUUCUACACACCCUAGAUCACUUCAUACAGUGAGAAGUGUACAAUGUAUGGAUGGGCAGAACUUGGGUUCUGCGAAGAGGAAAAGAGUCCUGGAGAGGGAUGAUGCUGGUGGUUGCACAACAACACGAGGGCACUCGAUGCCACUGAACUACCCGCUUUGGAAAAAAUGGUAAAUUUUAUGCUCUUUAUUUUGUCACAAUUUUUGAAAAAGUGUAUAUGUACGUAUACGUGCAUGAAUACUGAUAAUAAAUGUUUUCCAUGGGUUUGGUGGAAAUAGUUUAACCCAUGUCACCCAUCUAUCUAUUGAUCUUUGUUCUCUCACGGUCUUAAUUAACAUGGCGUUCCCGUUGUGGCUCAGCGGUAACAAACCCCACUAGAAUGCAUGCACAUGCAGGUUCGAUCCCUGGCCUUGCUCAGUGGGUAAGGAGCUGGUGUUGUCGUGAGUUGUGGCGUAGGUCACAGAUGGAGCUCAGAGCUGCCAUUGCUGUGGCUCUGGCAUAGGCUGGCAGCUGCAGCUCCGAUUUGAUCCCUAGCCCAAGAACUUCCGGAUGUGUUUAAAAAAAAAAAAGAAAGUUAGUUUACAUGAAUACCUACCUCCCACCAUGGUGAGGUGAAAAUGAAUGUAUAUAUGGAGUUAAGACAGUUUCCAGACAUGCAGAGUUGUGGGGUGUCUCAGCACUGAUGGAGGUGAAGGAUAUGAAGGGCUCACCUUUUAAGCGGAGGGACAGCUUAAAGCAUGGGGCACAAACAGCAUGGUGCAUAAUGCAUGCAGUGAACAGUCGGUACUCCAUUACUGAGGGCAGUAUGUUACAUGGUCAGUGGGUUGAUGAGCUCAUGGGGCUGCGAAAUAGAGGGAGCAAAGUGUAAGGGGUCUCAUAGGCCAUGUGAAGGAUCUGAGACUCCUCAGACCAGUGGAGGGCAGAGCACUUUCUCCAGUGGCCGAAGCAUGUCUCAAAACCCCCAAACUCCCAUGGGGCUGCCUGCAGAAGCCCUUGGUGGUAAAGGGGGGAGGGCGGGUGGCGAGGAGGGGGAGGAAAAAUCAGUAGGUCAAGGUGAAUGGUCUCAACUUUAUUUAAUGUUUUGGGUUUCCAUGUAAGAUUUCAUUUGAAGGCAGGGUUCCGGCUUAGAAGAAAACAGUUGAAAAAUCACUGUUGGUGGUAAGGAGGAAUCACCCAGAAUUAUCAGAGUUGGUGACAUUCUUCUGUUUUAAAAAAUCAGCAUUCAGCAUUCACAGCAGUGAACCUGUUUUCUCCAUUUCUGAGCCUCAUCUAGCGGCACUUUGCACAUGAUAAACAUUUAAUGUUCAGAGGGAAUUAUUUAAGGGAUAUGACUUGUGUUCUGUUGCCAUAAGGGGGAGUUUAAAUAACAUAUUGCCCAGUAACUCAAAAGCAAUUUGUAGAAAUAUAAACUAACGUUCCCUUAUGUAAAAUUGUACUGAAAUCAUUUUUUUUUUCUGAGCUUCCUGUCUGUUGUUGAGACAUUAGCUUUUAUAAUUUGAUGCCUUGGACCUGGUUGACAACACGGAUUUGGUAUGUGGGAUUGAACUUUGUGGAAAAUCACAGUUAAUUGUAUUUUUAAUGCUUAAAAGGAUAUUCUGGGCAGGUUUUGUUUCUUGGUGGAUGAUAGCCAGAAUCCUACUGUUUUUCAAUUUGUUUAAAUGCAACAGCUUAUACAACAUAUGUACAUGUUCAGUUGAAGAUAAAGGAUAUCAUUAUUUUUAGCCUGUUACAAAGAAAACCACAUUUUUCUCUUAAAUCUCUUGAUAUAAAGUAAUUUGAACACAAUUUCUGCACAAAUCAUUUUCAAGAGAUUGGCUGUCAAGUGUAUUUUUUUUUUUUUUUAAAGUAGCACUCUCGUAAGAGCCAAUGAGACUUUGCAAAUUUAGAUAUAUUCUAAGCCUGGAAUGCGGUUGAAGAUGUCAGUUUUUAAACAGCACUUUGAGAAGUAGUUAGCUUAAAAGUAUCGCAAUUCAGAGCACACUGAGAAUGAUUUUGAAGAGUAAAGUCUUGAUACACUGCACGAAAGUUGACAGAUUCCCUACAGUUAAGAGACAAGCAGCUACAACUCCCACUUGUGAAAACUUUUCUCAUCUAACCAACUUCUGACACUGGCCUAAGAAAACCUCCAGCAAAUUCUUACUCCUUUCGAGCUCCUAAUUACUCAAUUACACAGAAAUUCUACCAGUUUCUUUAUGCGGUAAUACAGAUAGAGAGUAAGAGUAUUGCAGGAGUUCCCUGGUGGCUCAGUAGGUUAAGGAUCUGGCACUGUCACUGCUGUGGCUCUCAUGACUGCUGUGGCACAGGUUUGAUUCCUGGCCCGGGAACUUCCAUAUGCCACAGGCAUGG